UUCCGGUUGAUCCUGCCGGACCUGACUGCUAUCGGAUUGAUACUAAGCCAUGCGAGUCAUUGUAGCAAUACAAGGCAGACGGCUCAGUAACGCGUAGUCAACCUACCCAAUGGACGGGAAUAACCUCGGGAAACUGAGUAUAAUGCCCGAUAGAACAUUAUACCUGGAAUGGUUUAUGUUCCAAAUGAUUUAUCGCCGUAGGAUGGGACUGCGGCCUAUCAGUUUGUUGGUGAGGUAAUGGCCCACCAAGACUAUUACAGGUACGGGCUCUGAGAGGAGUGGCCCGGAGAUGGGUACUGAGACACGGACCCAGGCCCUAUGGGGCGCAGCAGGCGAGAAAACUUUGCAAUGUGCGAAAGCACGACAAGGUUAAUCCGAGUGGUUUCUGCUAAAGGAACCUUUUGUUAGUCCUAGAAACACUAACGAAUAAGGGGUGGGCAAGUUCUGGUGUCAGCCGCCGCGGUAAAACCAGCACCUCAAGUGGUCAGGAUGAUUAUUGGGCCUAAAGCAUCCGUAGCCGGCUCUGUAAGUUUUCGGUUAAAUCUGUUCGCUUAACGUACAGGCUGCCGGGAAUACUGCAGAGCUAGGGAGUGGGAGAGGUAGACGGUACUCGGGAGGAAGUGGUAAAAUGCUUUGAUCUCUCGAUGACCACCUGUGGCGAAGGCGGUCUACCAGAACACGUCCGACGGUGAGGGAUGAAAGCUGGGGGAGCAAACCGGAUUAGAUACCCGGGUAGUCCCAGCUGUAAACUAUGCAAACUCAGUGAUGCAUUGGCUUGUGGCCAAUGCAGUGUUGCAGGGAAGCCGUUAAGUUUGCCGCCUGGGAAGUACGUACGCAAGUAUGAAACUUAAAGGAAUUGGCGGGGGAGCACCACAAGGGGUGAAGCCUGCGGUUCAAUUGGAGUCAACGCCGGA
rnacentral:rRNA from 1 species